rnacentral:tRNA from 1 species
ACCUGCCUGGCUCAGUCGGUGGAGCAUGUGACUCUGGAUCUUACAGUUGUGAGUUUGAGCCCCAUGGAGGGUG